rnacentral:sRNA from 1 species
GCGACCCAGCCCCGCGUCGGUCCAGCUGACGAAGACGAUCGUGCGGCCAUCGCGCGACCACGACGGAUAGAGCUCGAAGGCGUCUUCGUCGCCGCUGACCAGGCGACGGGCCUCGCCGCCGGCCGUCGACUUGAUCCACAACUUGCCCAGGGUCUCGAACACCACCGACUUGCCGUCGGGCGACACGCUGGCCCAGCGCGGCAUCUUGGUGGUGAAGCGAUCCGGCGCGACCGCGACCUCGGGAUGAAUAGCGUCG